rnacentral:rRNA from 1 species
GACGAACGCUGGCGGCGUGCUUAACACAUGCAAGUCGAACGGAAAGGCCCUGCUUUUGUGGGGUGCUCGAGUGGCGAACGGGUGAGUAACACGUGUGUAACCUGCACUUGACUUUGGGAUAACUCCACGAAACUGGGGCUCAUACCGGAUAGGAGAUCCUGCUGCAUGGUGGGGGUUGGAAAGAUUCGGCGGUGGGGGAUGGACUCGCGGCUUAUCAGCUUGUUGGUCGGGUAGUGGCUGACAAAGGCUUUGACGGGUAGCCGGCCUGGGAGGGUGACCGGCCACAUUGGGACUGAGGUACGGCCCAGACGCCAUCGGGAGGCAGCAGUGGGGAAUAUUGCACAAUGGGCGGAAGCCUGAUGCAGCAGCGCCGCGUGCGGGAUGCCGGCCUACGGGUUGUAAACCGCUUUCUCCUGUGACGAAGCGUGAGUGACGGUAAUGGGUAAAGAAGCACCGGCUAACUACGUG